rnacentral:ribozyme from 1 species
GCUGCUCUAAUAAUAUCACACACCUCUCCAUGGUGAGCAGCAGGCAACGAUCUAAGAAUGAUCGGCUGAGAUGUGAUG